GAAAGGAGAACGGCAACGGCAACGGGAAAACCGCGCGAGGACUGGGAUGAGGAAGUAAUGACGAGUGCAGUUGUAAACAAAGUAAGCAAGCACAAAACGGCAAAACGCGAGCUUUCUUGCUCCUUUAUUCCCGACUGCUAUCGCAAUUUUUCGUUUUAUUCAUUUAAAUUAUAUUUCUUCACUUAAACGAGCAAGAGAGAAACUUCCGCAGAGCCAAGCUGAUGGAAUCAUAGCCGACGAGGAGUUUGUUUUGCUUUACGAUUUAAACAAACCAGACAAUCUUGUUCCCCCGUACGAAAACUAAAAAAAUGUUUCACAAGGAUCUUUUGGAGGAAGAUGAGUGCUUAUCUGAAUUCAGGUUUCACAAGCGAGAUAUUCCUGCAAUAUCUGCAAAAGGAUCUCCAUUGGACAACUGUUUCGGAUUCAUCGAUGGAAAUGUAGUGAGACCUAUUUGCCGACCAAACCAGCACCAGGAGAUUGUGUACAAUGGCCUCAAACGAGUUCAUAGUAUAAAGUUCCAGUCCGUGGCUCCCGAGUGGCAUGAUAGGGAACAUUUAUGGACCAAUAGAGGGAAAACGACAUGAUGCUUUCAUGCUGCGGGAGUCUGGCCUCCCCCACGAUCUUGAGCUGCAUGCAUUCUCUAGCCUCCUGCACCACAUCCACUAUGCCUUUAUGGAGACCCAGCAUAUCCCCUCCGCAUUCAUCCACAAGGCCCCUCCGGCAAUACAGUCCACCCCCUCACACCACAGAUGGAAGAGUUUAAUGAAUCAAAUGGACAUCCGUGGAGUAGCUCCUUGGGGACAUUGUAAAUUAUUUUAAGUUUAUUGAUUAAAUAAAAUUUUAAGAUUGUUCCGUCUUCAGUAAGAAAAGCUUAUAUUGUCUUUGCUCUUCUUAGAAAUGCCUUAAAUUCACUCUAUGGAAACACUACUUCUCAGUUUUUUUAUCAAAAAAAUAUACUUAGAUUAAAAUACUUCUAUGUCACCAUAAUCAAAAUAAGCAUCAGAUAAAAGUUUUUUUAACAUUUUAAUGAUAUUUUUAAUAACAUUAAUAUAGCCAUAAAAAAGCAAAUAUUUUGAAUAAGGUUUAUAUUCAGAUGCGAGAAAGCCUUGCACUGGAAGAACAUCACAAAUCUGUGUAAGCUAAGAAAGUAAUAAAUUACUUCACUAUAAAUAAUAAAGUUCAAUAAAUAAUUUUCUGAAACUA